rnacentral:rRNA from 1 species
GACGAACGCUGGCGGCGUGCUUAACACAUGCAAGUCGUACGGUAAGGCCCUUUCGGGGGUACACGAGUGGCGAACGGGUGAGUAACACGUGAGUAACCUGCCCACAACUUUGGGAUAACGCUAGGAAACUGGUGCUAAUACUGGAUAUGUGCUCCUGCUGCAUGGUGGGGGUUGGAAAGCUCCGGCGGUUGUAGAUGGACUCGCGGCCUAUCAGCUUGUUGGUGGGGUAGUGGCCUACCAAGGCGGCGACGGGUAGCCGGCCUGAGAGGGUGACCGGCCACAUUGGGACUGAGAUACGGCCCAGACUCCUACGGGAGGCAGCAGUGGGGAAUAUUGCACAAUGGGCGCAAGCCUGAUGCAGCAACGCCGCGUGCGGGAUGACGGCCUUCGGGUUGUAAACCGCUUUCAGCAGGGACGAAGCUUUUUGUGACGGUACCUGCAGAAGAAGCACCGGCUAACUACGUG